UAAGCAUAUCAAUAAGCGGAGGAAAAGAAACCAACGGGGAUUGCCCUAGUAACGGCGAGUGAAGCGGCAACAGCUCAAAUUUGAAAUCUGGCUCUUUUAGGGUCCGAGUUGUAAUUUGCAGAGGGUGCUUUGGUGUUGGCAGCGGUCUAAGUUCUUUGGAACAGGACGUCACAGAGGGUGAGAAUCCCGUACGUGGUCGCUAGCCCUCGCCGUGUAAAGCCCCUUCGACGAGUCGAGUUGUUUGGGAAUGCAGCUCUAAAUGGGAGGUAAAUUUCUUCUAAAGCUAAAUACUGGCCAGAGACCGAUAGCGCACAAGUAGAGUGAUCGAAAGAUGAAAAGCACUUUGGAAAGAGAGUCAAAUAGCACGUGAAAUUGUUGAAAGGGAAGCGCUUGCAGCCAGACUUGCCUGUAGUUGCUUAUCCGGACUUUUGUCCGGUGCACUCUUCUGCGGGCAGGCCAGCAUCAGUUUAGGCGGUUGGAUAAAGGUCUCUGUCAUGUACCUCUCUUCGGGGAGGCCUUAUAGGGGAGACGACAUGCAACCAGCCUGGACUGAGGUCCGCGCAUCUGCUAGGAUGCUGGCGUAAUGGCUGUAAGCGGCCCGUCUUGAAACACGGACCAAGGAGUCUAACAUCUAUGCGAGUGUUUGGGUGUCAAGCCCAGACGCGUAAUGAAAGUGAACGGAGGUGGGAACCCUUACGGGUGCACCAUCGACCGAUCCUGAUGUCUUCGGAUGGAUUUGAGUAAGAGCAUGGCUGUUGGGACCCGAAAGAUGGUGAACUAUGCUUGAAUAGGGUGAAGCCAGAGGAAACUCUGGUGGAGGCUCGCAGCGGUUCUGACGUGCAAAUCGAUCGUCAAAUUUGGGCAUAGGGGCGAAAGACUAAUCGAACUAUCUAGUAGCUGGUUCCUGCCGAA
rnacentral:rRNA from 1 species